rnacentral:rRNA from 1 species
GAUGAACGCUGGCGGCGUGCCUAAUACAUGCAAGUCGAGCGAACAGAUAAGGAGCUUGCUCCUUUGACGUUAGCGGCGGACGGGUGAGUAACACGUGGGUAACCUACCUAUAAGGCUGGGAUAACUUCGGGAAACCGGAGCUAAUACCGGAUAACAUUUGGAACCGCAUGGUUCUAAAGUGAAAGAUGGUUUUGCUAUCACUUAUAGAUGGACCCGCGCCGUAUUAGCUAGUUGGUAAGGUAACGGCUUACCAAGGCGACGAUACGUAGCCGACCUGAGAGGGUGAUCGGCCACACUGGAACUGAGACACGGUCCAGACUCCUACGGGAGGCAGCAGUAGGGAAUCUUCCGCAAUGGGCGAAAGCCUGACGGAGCAACGCCGCGUGAGUGAUGAAGGGUUUCGGCUCGUAAAACUCUGUUAUUAGGGAAGAACAAACGUGUAAGUAACUGUGCACGUCUUGACGGUACCUAAUCAGAAAGCCACGGCUAACUACGUG